rnacentral:rRNA from 1 species
CCUACGGGAGGCAGCAGUGAGGAAUAUUGGUCAAUGGGCGCGAGCCUGAACCAGCCAAGUAGCGUGAAGGAUGACUGCCCUACGGGUUGUAAACUUCUUUAGGCGGGGAGCAAUGCCGGGCACGCGUGCCCGGAGGGAGAGUACCCGCAGAAUAAGCAUCGGCUAACUCCGUGCCAGCAGCCGCGGUAAUACGGAGGAUGCGAGCGUUAUCCGGAUUUAUUGGGUUUAAAGGGUGCGUAGGCGGAUUUUUAAGUCAGCGGUAAAAUGUCCGGGCUCAACCCGGGCCGGCCGUUGAAACUGGGGUUCUUGAGUGGGCGAGAAGUAUGCGGAAUGCGUGGUGUAGCGGUGAAAUGCAUAGAUAUCACGCAGAACUCCGAUUGCGAAGGCAGCAUACCGGCGCCCGACUGACGCUGAGGCACGAAAGCGUGGGGAUCGAACAGGAUUAGAUACCCUAGUAGUC